rnacentral:rRNA from 1 species
CAAAAACAUGUCUUCUUGACUAUGUAUAGGAAGUCUGACCUGCCCAGUGAUUAAAUUUUAACGGCCGCGGUAUAUUGACCGUGCAAAGGUAGCAUAAUCAUUAGUCUUUUAAAAGAGGGCUGGAAUGAAAGGUUUGACGAAGUAUUAACUGUCUCAUUUUAUUUGAUUUAGAAUUUAAUUUUUUAGUCAAAAAGCUGAAAUUCAAUUGGAAGACGAGAAGACCCUAUAGAGCUUUAUAUUUAUUUAUUUAAUUUUAUUUAUAUUAUUUGAAUUUAUAUAUAAUAAUAUUAUGUUGGGGUGACAAAAAUAUAUAAGUAACUUUUUUAUUUAUUUUACAUUAAUUUAUGAUUAAUAGAUCCAUUAUUAUUGAUUAUUAGAUUAAGUUACCUUAGGGAUAACAGCGUAAUCCUUCUCCAGAGUUCAUAUUUACAGAAGGGCUUGCGACCUCGAUGUUGGAUUAAGAUAAUAAUUAGGUGUAGGUGCUUAAUUAAUAGGUCUGUUCGACCUUUAAAUUCUUACAU